GAAGCAAGCCAGACAGCCGCUGGUCAGCGCGUAAUGCCUGACGGGAGGAAGGUCCGGACUCCAUAGAGCGGGGUGACGGUUAACGGCCGUCCGUUGAAAGCCUGCUGUGCCGUACCGGUACUUGUACUGGUGCGGUGCAGGGGUAUAAGGCGAGGAAUAGGGCCACAGAGACGAGCGUAUUAAGUUACGGUGAAACGCGGUAACCUCCACCUGGUGCAAUUCCAAAUAGGCACGCGAUGAUGUGGCUCGCGGAGCGUGCGGGUAGGAAGCUUGAGCGCCGGAGUAAUCCGGCGCCUAGAGGAAUGGCUGUCAUAGCGCAGGUUCGCCUGUGCCGUAACAAAAUCCGGCCUAUCGGCUUGCUUCAACU
rnacentral:RNase_P_RNA from 1 species